CCCCUCUCAGGGUCGCAUCUGGAGAGUUUCCAGCAUUCUUCCAAUCUUGACUAUGGGAGGAAGAGUCAAGCAGAGGCAUAUCCAUUCCAUUCCUAGCUUGGGCAUUGGCUAGCUAGUGGAAGGCAAUCUGCUAUAAGU